AUGCCACCCCUUGCUUAUUGCUGAUAGUUUAUAGGAAGUGUUUCAUUUUCUAUGCUUACAGAAUGAAUACCUCAUCUGCUGCCCCUAGGAGAUUAUGUACUACCAUGAUAGUGAGACUGUGAGACAACUACUGACUGCAGGAAGAUCAAUCAAAAGUUGCAAUCCAUUCAGAAAUUAAAAUAAGCAGUAAACUGAAAGAAAGCUAUGGACUACAGAAAUCAUGGGUCAAAGACAAGGUAUCUGUCACCAGUCCCUCAUGUAAAUGAAAAUGGGCAGUGGCAAUGCAAAGAUGAAACCCAUCUACAAGGAGCCGAUAUCCUAUCAGAGGAGACAAUAUGUAUAUUUAUGGAUGAAAAUGGGGGCUGACCAAGUGGAGUAAAAGAACUGGAGUUCAUCCUGCUAUAUGCCAGGUGCAACCUUGGCGAAGAUGCUUCUUUAAAAUGUGGGAUCAUGCAGAAUGGAAAGGCUGCUUUCUCAUUCUGAAGAUUUCCAAAUAUUGUGGGUCUAUUUCCUGUCUGAUUAUGGUGUAG
rnacentral:lncRNA from 1 species